rnacentral:rRNA from 1 species
GCUCAGGAUGAACGCUAGCGGCAGGCUUAACACAUGCAAGUCGAGGGGUAUAGUUUUUCGGAACUAGAGACCGGCGCACGGGUGCGUAACGCGUAUGCAAUCUACCUUUUACAGAGGGAUAGCCCAGAGAAAUUUGGAUUAAUACCUCAUAGCAUAGCAGUUUCGCAUGAAGCAGCUAUUAAAGUUCCAACGGUAAAAGAUGAGCAUGCGUCCCAUUAGCUAGAUGGUAAGGUAACGGCUUACCAUGGCAACGAUGGGUAGGGGUCCUGAGAGGGAGAUCCCCCACACUGGUACUGAGACACGGACCAGACUCCUACGGGAGGCAGCAGUGAGGAAUAUUGGUCAAUGGGCGCAAGCCUGAACCAGCCAUGCCGCGUGCAGGAUGACGGUCCUAUGGAUUGUAAACUGCUUUUGUACGAGAAGAAACAACAUUACGUGUAAUGUCUUGACGGUAUCGUAAGAAUAAGGAUCGGCUAACUCCGUGCCAGCAGCCGCGGUAAUACGGAGGAUCCAAGCGUUAUCCGGAAUCAUUGGGUUUAAAGGGUCCGUAGGCGGUUUAGUAAGUCAGUGGUGAAAGCCCAUCGCUCAACGGUGGAACGGCCAUUGAUACUGCUAGACUUGAAUUAUUAGGAAGUAACUAGAAUAUGUAGUGUAGCGGUGAAAUGCUUAGAGAUUACAUGGAAUACCAAUUGCGAAGGCA